rnacentral:rRNA from 1 species
AAACCGUGUACGUACAAGCAGUGGGAGCACAGGUUUACCUGUGUGACUGCGUACCUUUUGUAUAAUGGGUCAGCGACUUAUAUUCUGUAGCAAGGUUAACCGAAUAGGGGAGCCGGAGGGAAACCGAGUCUUAACCGGGCGUUAAGUUGCAGGGUAUAGACCCGAAACCCGGUGAUCUAGCCAUGGGCAGGUUGAAGGUUGGGUAACACUAACUGGAGGACCGAACCGACUAAUGUUGAAAAAUUAGCGGAUGACCUGUGGCUGGGGGUGAAAGGCCAAUCAAACCGGGAGAUAGCUGGUUCUCCCCGAAAGCUAUUUAGGUAGCGCCUCGUGAAUUCAUCUCCGGGGGUAGAGCACUGUUUCGGCUAGGGGGCCAUCCCGGCUUACCAACCCGAUGCAAACUGCGAAUACCGGAGAAUGUUAUCACGGGAGACACACGGCGGGUGCUAACGUCCGUCGUGAAGAGGGAAACAACCCAGACCGCCAGCUAAGGUCCCAAAGUCAUGGUUAAGUGGGAAACGAUGUGGGAAGGCCCAGACAGCCAGGAUGUUGGCUUAGAAGCAGCCAUCAUUUAAAGAAAGCGUAAUAGCUCACUGGUCGAGUCGGCCUGCGCGGAAGAUGUAACGGGGCUAAACCAU